AAAUGAAUUGACGGGGACCCGCACAAGCGGUGGAGCAUGUGGUUUAAUUCGAAGCAACGCGAAGAACCUUACCAGAUCUUGACAUCCUCUGACAACCCAGGAAACUGGGCGUUCCCUUCGGGGACAGAGUGACAGGUGGUGCAUGGUUGUCGUCAGCUCGUGUCGUGAGAUGUUGGGUUAAGUCCCGUAACGAGCGCAACCCUUAUUGUUAGUUGCCAGCAUUCAGUUGGGCACUCUAGCGAGACUGCCGGUGAUAAACCGGAGGAAGGCGGGGAUGACGUCAAAUCAUCAUGCCCCUUAUGAUCUGGGCUACACACGUGCUACAAUGGAUGGUACAACGAGUUGCGAGACCGCGAGGUUCAGCUAAUCUCCUAAAGCCAUUCUCAGUUCGGAUUGCAGGCUGCAACUCGCCUGCAUGAAGCUGGAAUCGCUAGUAAUCGCGAAUCAGAACGUCGCGGUGAAUACGUUCCCGGGUCUUGUACACACCGCCCGU
rnacentral:rRNA from 1 species